rnacentral:rRNA from 1 species
GUGAGGAAUAUUGGUCAAUGGGCGGGAGCCUGAACCAGCCAAGUCGCGUGAAGGAAGAAGGAUCUAUGGUUCGUAAACUUCUUUUGCAGGGGAAUAAAGUGCAGGACGUGUCCUGUUUUGUAUGUACCCUGAGAAUAAGGAUCGGCUAACUCCGUGCCAGCAGCCGCGGUAAUACGGAGGAUCCGAGCGUUAUCCGGAUUUAUUGGGUUUAAAGGGUGCGUAGGUGGUUUGAUAAGUCAGCGGUGAAAGUUUGCAGCUUAACUGUAAAAAUGCCGUUGAAACUGUCGGACUUGAGUGUAAAUGAGGUAGGCGGAAUGCGUGGUGUAGCGGUGAAAUGCAUAGAUAUCACGCAGAACUCCGAUUGCGAAGGCAGCUUACUAAGCUACAACUGACAUUGAAGCACGAAAGCGUGGGGAUCAAACAGGAUUAGAUACCCUAGUAGUCC